rnacentral:rRNA from 1 species
UACACGCAUGACACACUGCAUAUCAAUAAGCGGAGGAAAAGAAACUAACAAGGAUUCCCUUAGUAACGGCGAGUGAAGCGGGAAGAGCUCAAAUUUGAAAUCUUCAAGGUUCUACCUUGACGAAUUGUAGUUUAUAGAAGUGUUUUCUGUUGGAGUUUUGGUAAAAGUUCUUUGGAAUAGGACAUCAUAGAGGGUGAGAAUCCCGUAUUUGGUCAUUCCUCCUAGCGUUGUGAUACACUUUCAACGAGUCGGAUUGUUUGGGAAUGCAGUCCAAAAUGGGUGGUAAAUUUCAUCUAAAGCUAAAUAUUGGCGAGAGACCGAUAGCGAACAAGUACCGUGAGGGAAAGAUGAAAAGAACUUUGAAAAGAGAGUUAAACAGUACGUGAAAUUGUCAAAAGGGAAGCGUUUGACACCAGUGUUGUUUAGUUGAAAAUCAAUUCAAUAAUUUUUGAUUUUAAGUAGUAUUGACUUCAUCAGCUUGCUGCUUUCUUUUCAGGAAUUAUUGAAUGCACUUUUCAGUUAACAAGUCGACAUCAAUUUCUUUUGUUGUAAAAGGGUAAGAGGAAGGUGGCUUGCGCUUCGGCUCAAGUGUUUAUAGCCUUUUACCUCUGCAAUCGGAGAGAUUGAGGUCUGCAGCGUAGACUCUUCGGGGUUAGAUACAUUUAUGCUAAGCUAUAGCCUUGUAUAGACAACUUGUUGACUAUGCUCAGUCAUGUAGCUUACUCGUAGAUGCUAUUUUACCUACGCUUAGGAUGUUGACUGAUAUGUAGUCGUA